UAAAUGGGAUGAAAUACCUUAUGUUCAGUCUUUUUUUUUUUUUUUUUUUGCUUUUGUAUCAAAAUAUGCCAGGUCAGAAAAGAUGUAAAAUUCUACAACAAACCAGUAACACUAAAAAGCCUGUGUUGCCUGAUUCUCACCAGGGAGAGGAGGAGGAUUUAUUGAUUACGUGGAUUUAACUCCCCUACAGCUCUUCCACUCUAUGGGAGCACCAGAGCUACUGCCUGUACUCAGCAGCCCCAGUCCCAACAACCUGAGCCCCCACAGAGCCCAAACCAGGACCCUCAGCUUCAGGGGGCCAACAGGAGUGAGGAAUGCCACAUGAUGCUAGAAAAGGCUAGGGAAGAAGUUACCUGGCUGCACGCUAAAACCCCCAAUAACUCCCUAAGAGCAAAUCCAUGAUGCCCAUUCCUACUAUGAAUCCCAACUGGAACAUCAGUAUUGGAGACUGAGCAUUUACAAUAACCAAGAUAUGAAAGCAAGCCCAGUGUCCAUCAACAGAUGAAAAGAUAGAGAAGAUAUGGGAGCACUUGUGUGGUGCAGUCGAUUAAGCAUCUGACUCUUGGUUUUGGCUCAGGUCAUGAUCUCAGGGUUGUGGUACUGAACCCUGCAUCAGGCUCUGCCCUCAGCACAGAGUCUGCUUGAGAUUCUCUCUUCCUCUUCCUCUGCCCAUCCCAUGCGUGCUCUUUCUCUUUCUCAUAAAUAAAUAAAUCUUUUUUGGACGCCUGGGUGGCUCAGUUGGUUAAGCGACUGCCUUCGGCUCAGGUCAUGAUCCUGGAGUCCCAGGAUCGAGUCCCACAUUGGGCUCCCUGCUCAGCAGGGAGUCUGCUUCUCCCUCUGACCCUCCCCCCUCUCAUGUUCUCUUUCUCUCACAUAAAUAAAUAAAUAAAUAAAUAAAUAAAUAAAUAAAUAAAUAAACUUUUUAAAAGGAAAGAAGAUAUGGUAUAUUUAUACAAUGGAAUAUUACUCAGCCAUAAAAAGAAUGACAUCUU